GACAAACGCUGGCGGCGUGCCUAAUACAUGCAAGUCGAGCGAGCGGAACUAACAGAUUUACUUCGGUAAUGACGUUAGGAAAGCGAGCGGCGGAUGGGUGAGUAACACGUGGGGAACCUGCCCCAUAGUCUGGGAUACCACUUGGAAACAGGUGCUAAUACCGGAUAAGAAAGCAGAUCGCAUGAUCAGCUUUUAAAAGGCGGCGUAAGCUGUCGCUAUGGGAUGGCCCCGCGGUGCAUUAGCUAGUUGGUAAGGUAAAGGCUUACCAAGGCGAUGAUGCAUAGCCGAGUUGAGAGACUGAUCGGCCACAUUGGGACUGAGACACGGCCCAAACUCCUACGGGAGGCAGCAGUAGGGAAUCUUCCACAAAGGACGCAAGUCUGAUGGAGCAACGCCGCGUGAGUGAAGAAGGUUUUCGGAUCGUAAAGCUCUGUUGUUGGUGAAGAAGGAUAGAGGUAGUAACUGGCCUUUAUUUGACGGUAAUCAACCAGAAAGUCACGGCUAACUACGUG
rnacentral:rRNA from 1 species